rnacentral:rRNA from 1 species
AUGUGUCGAAAGACGCCGAGGCUCCACUGCAUACAAAAUAGCAACUCUGUUGUUCAACAAGAUGCACAUGGCCAUAUUCAGAGCUCCUAUGUGUUUUUUGACUACAAUCCGAGUGGGAGCAUCUUGAAUAGAGAAUGUGGAAGAAGCCAAAGGGCGAGCCAUUUUGAUUGGCCUCAAGUCGCUUUCAGCCGUGUACAGAGGGCCCAUAAUCAUAUCAUUGAAACUAACACCCAAGGAUUGGAGGUGGGCAGGCCUAAUAGGUCUGGUUGUUUCUCUUUCAUCAGCGAUGUAAAAAAAUGA